rnacentral:lncRNA from 10 species
AGUAAAGGAGGCUGGGCGUGGUGGCUCACGCCUGUAAUCCCAGCACUUUGGGAGGCCGAGGCAGGCGGAUCACCUGAGCUCAGGAGUUCAAGACCAGCCUGGCCAACAUGGUGAAACCCCGUCUCUAGUAAAAAUACAAAAAUUAGCCCGGCAUCAUGGAGUGUGCCUGUAGUCCCAGCUACUCAGGAGGCUGACGCGGGACCCUCGCCUGAACCUGGGAGGUAGAGGUUGCGGUGAGCCAAGAUCGCACCAUUGCAUUCCAGCCUGGGCACGAAGCGAGACUCCGUCAAAAAAAAAAAAAAAAAUUAAAGAAUAAAAUUUCUGCAGGCAUCUCAACAGCUACAGAAACAGCAUUUUGUGCAAUUCAAUACUGAUUUGCAGGGGCCAGGGGUCAUGGCUCAUGCCUGCAAUCCCAGCACUUUGGGAGACCAAGGCAGGUGGAUCCCUUGGGCUCAAGAGUUCAAGAUCAGCCUGGGCAAUGUAGCAAAACCCCAUCUAAAAAAAUAAGAAAAUAUUAGGCAAGCAUGGUGCAUAUGUGCACAGGGCGCACACCUGUGGUCCCAGCUACUGGGGGUCUGAGGUGGGAGGAUUGCUUGAGCCCAGGAGGUUGAGGCUACAGUGAGCCGUGAUGGUGGCCCUGGACUCCAGCCUGGGCAACAGAGUGCAACCCCGUCUCAAAAAAGAAAAAUACUCAUUUGCAACUUUUAUUUUUUUAAUUAAAAAAAAAUUUAAUUUAUUUAUAUUUUUGGGGACAGAGUCUCGCUAUGUCACCCAGGCUGCAGUGCGAUGGCAUGAUCUCAGCUCACUGCAACCUCCACCUUCUGAGUUCAAGUGAUUCUCCUGCCUCAGCCUCCUGAAUAGCUGGAAUUACAGGUGACCGCCACCAUGCCUGGCUAAUUUUUGUAUUUUUAGUAGAGACGGGGAUUCACCAUGUUGGCCAGGCUGGUCUCGAACUCCUGACCUCGUGAUCCACCCAUCUCAACCUCCCAAAGUGCUGGGGUUACAGGAGUGAGCCACCGUGCCUGGCCUCAUUUGCAAUUUUUAAAAAUUGCUUUGCAAUGCCGGGCGCGGUGGCUUACGCCUGUAAUCUCAGCACUUUGGGAGGCCGAGGUGGGCACAUCAUGAGGUCAGAUCGAGACGAUCCCGGCUAACACGGUGAAACCCCAUCUCUACUAAAAAUACAAAAAAAAAAAUAGCUGGGCAUGGCGGCGUGUGCCUAUUAUCCCAGCUGCUGGGGAGGCUGAAGCAGGAGAAUGGCGUGAACCCGGGAGGCGGAGCUUGCAGUAAGCUGAGAUCGCGCCACCGCACCCCAGCCUGGGUGACAGAGCAAGACUCCAUCUCAAAAAAAAAAAAAAUUGCUUUGCAACCUAGUAGUAGAAGAACAAUUCCUUGAUCUGAUAAAGAGCAUUCCCUUAACAAGAUAUAGCAAAAUUUAAAACCCGUGAAUUAUAGAAAAGAUACACAUUUGAUUAUAUAAUAUUUUUAAAAAUAUGCAUGGCACAAGACUCUAUAAACAAAUAUACACAAUGGAAGCCAUGGUGGGAGGUAUCGGCCAGGGCCACGUCUGAGUCCUUGGCAGAGCUGGGUCACGCAGUGAAGAGCUGGGAGGGGCCUGGACAGGGCAGCAGUGGGUCAGGUUUGGGCUUAAAGAAGACGUCCCAGCUGGUGGUUCUUCAAACAAUUAAACAUACAGUGGCCGUGCAACCCAGCAAUGCCACUCCUAGGUGAGGACCCAAGAUAAAUGAAGACGUCCGGCCAGGCGCAUUGGCUCACACCUGUAAUCCCAGCACUUUGGGAGCCUUAGACAGAUGGAUCACUUUCAGCUCAGGAAUUAAAGACCAGCCUGGGCAACACAGGGAGACCCUGUCUCGUUAAAAAAUACAAAAAUUGCCAGGCGUGGUGGCUCAUGCCUGUAAUCCCAGCACUUUGGGAGGCCGAGGCAGGCGGAUCACCUGAGGUCAGUAGUUUGAGACCAGCCUGAUGAACAUGGUGAAACCCCGUCUCUACUAGAAAUAGAAAAAUUAGCUGGACGUGGUGACUAACACCUGUAAUCCCAGCUACUCAGGAGGCUGAGGCAGAAGCGCUUGAACCUGGGAAGCGGAGGUUGCAGUGAGCCGAGAUCACGCCAUUGCACUCCAGCCUGGGCAACAAGAUGAAACUCCAUCUCAAAAAAAAAAAAAAAAAUUAGCUGGGCAUCGUUGUCUUGUGCCUGCGGUGCCAGCUAUUCUGGAGGCUGAGAUUGGAGAAUCAUUUGUGCCCAGUGAAGCAGAGGUGGCAGUGAGCCAAGAUCAUGCCACUGCGCUCCAGCUUGGGUGACAGAGUGAGACUCUGUCUCAAAAAAAAAAAGAGUCUACAUAAAACAUUGUGCGCGCCUGUGCAUAGCAGCACAUCCAUAAUCACAGAGAGGCGGAAACAGCUGUGUCCAUCAACAGAGGUUGGUCACACAGGGGGUCCUGUGCCCAAUGCAGUGGACUCUUGGGCCUUAGAAUGAAGUUCUGAUCCACACGGCAGCACCGACGGACCUUGGGCACUGUGCUGUGUGAAAUAAGCAGACAGAUGCUGUGUGGCAGCACUUACAGGGGCAUCCUGAGCGACUUUGUGGAGACAGCUCUUAGGGCUGGGGAGGGAGGGAUGCGGGAAGGGGGCGGGAGCUGGAGGGUGGAGGGCUCUUUCUGAGAUGAGGAAAUGAUCUAAAACUGCCUGCGGUGACGGCUGCACAGCUCUGAAGAUGCAGAAACUCGCUGAGCUGGACGCAUUCUGAAUUGUGUGGUAUGUGAAUUAUGUCUCAGUAAAGCCAUUAAAAAAAAACACCCAGGAGCCAGGCGCAGUGGCUCAUGCCUAUAAUCCCAGCACUUUGGGAGGCGGAGGCAGGCGGAUCAUCUGAGGUCAGGAGUUGGAGACCAGCCUGACCAACAUGGUGUAACCUCGUCUCUGCUAAAAUACAAAAAUUAGCUGGGUGUUGUGGCGGGCACCUUUAAUCCUGGCUACUUGGGAGGCUGAGGCAGGAGAAUUGCUUGAACCUGGGAACGGGAGGUUGCAGUGAGCCAAGAUCGCGCCAUUGCACUCCAGCCUGGGCGACAGAGCGAGACUCCGUCUCAAAAAAACAAAACAAAACAAAACAGCCAGGCAACCAAGUAGACAAUGGAGGGAGGGGGUGACAGCUGAGGACGCCCAUUGUCUGCUGGUGCUCCAGGCGGUGCUCCCCACUCCCAGCCCAGUCGCCCCCUGCUCCUGGCCUGGAUUUGAGGCCUAGAGAGACACCUGCCCUCCCCCGGAUCCGUGCCCCGCAGAAGUGCAGUCUUGGUGCCCAAAUGUGCGCCCGCUGGGGCAGAGGAGAAUCCGCGGGGCCUGAAGCAGAAUCGCGCCCUCCCCCCAACCUGCCGGCUGCCCGGGCGCUCCCCAUGGGCCCAGACGCAGGAGACAAAGGAGAACAUGGGGGUUCAGGUAUGCACUGGGGCGCAGACAGGGCCAGGCAAGACAAGAGGGCAGGGCUGCCGGGAAGGACGAGUGCCUCGGGAGCCUCUCUGCAGGUGAGACACAGGUUGAAGCAUUGACUGAUUUGUUCUCUCGCAGUGAGGCAGGAGAGGAGGGAAUAAUUGGGGUGACCCAGGGUUGAGGCGUGAGCAAGAGAACAGCAAAGGCAGCUGGUUCUGGGUAACACUGGGCCUCACUCCUAUGGUAACAAGACAGUUUCCACUUCAGCCUCUGAUUGGCUGUGAGCCAGUCCUUCAUAAGGAGUCACCAGUUGGAGGCCUCUAAAGGGCACCUGGGGUGUUACCAAAUUCUCCUGGCUUCCUAAAAACCCUGGGGAGCACUGCCAUAGAGGCUCUGGGGCCGCCUGCUCCGCCCGCUGCCUCUCUGUGAAUUGCACCUUGUGGUCUUCAAUGAAUCUGUGCUUUCGUCACUCCGUUUUUUGCUUGUCUUGUCUUUCGUUACUUCAUUCUUUUGUUGCUUUCUUUGUGCGUGUUCAAUUCUUUGUUCUGCACACAAGAACCUAAACAACUCACAGUCGAGACCUUCCAACCAGUAACACCAGCGGCCCCUCCCCUGGGAAGCCUCCAGAGGACGGGAGGCUGCCUGUAAAAGCUGAAGAGUCCUGAGUCUUCUGCGUGAUUCCAGAGACUCCUGGGAUGCCCUGGGGUGGGGGGCAGGGGAACGCUGGGGCACGGGUGGACCCAGGAAAGAGACGUGUAGAGCGCCUUGCCCCACCACCCUCCUCCCAGGCCAUGUCAUCUGCCACCCAGGCCAGGGCUACACCUCACCUGCCACUCAGGCCAUACCAUACCCUCACCUGUUGCCCAGGCCACACCCACAUCCUCACCUGUUGCCCCUCCUCCUUGCGGCCCAGGAGGUCUCUGAAGAUGCAGGCUCUACCUUCUGCCCGGCCCCCAGCCCUCCACCCGAGAAGUGGAUGUGAAGUCACUCUGUGCAUCUCCGCCCCUUUCCCACCCAUUGGCCCUUGCCCUGCUCAGGGUCCCACGCUCUUCCCUCCUCCUGCCCCUCGUGGCCCCUCCUGUCUGCCCUGGCCCCCCCACACAUCCAGGGGGCAGUUUGCUUCCUCCACUGACCUCCCCUCUCUGUGACAUUAUCUGUUUUUACAAACUUCAGGCAUCUAAGCCGGGCACAUUGGCCCAAGCCUGUAAUCCCAGCACUUUGGGAGGCCGAGGCAGGCGGAUCACUUAAGCUCAGGAGUUCGAAACCAGCCUGGCCAAGAUGGUGAAACCCCAUCUCUACUAAAAAUACAAAAGAUUAGCCGGCUGUGAUGACGCGCACCUGUAAUCUCAGCUACUCGGGAGGCUGAGGCACGAGAAUCGCUUGCACCCAGGAGGUGGAGGCUGCAGUGAGCCGAGAUCACGCCAGGGCACUCCGGCCUGGGCGACAGAGUGAGACUUCGUCUCAAGAAAAACCAAAAAUCCAAAAGAACUACAGGCAUCGGCUGUGUCCCCACUAGGAAGCCGGAGGGGAGCAGGGCUGGGUGUGUCUUCUCUGGCUGCGUCCCUGCGGCCACAAGGCCUGUUCUUCCUCUGUGCCCCGCCUGCCAAGGACCCAGCCUUGUGAAGGAUGGAUGAAUGAAUCAUUGAGCAAAUGAAUGAGUGUGUGAACAGGGCGGAUGCCAGAGCCAGAGCAAAGGCCUCGUUAGCCCCUCGGGGAGGGCACGGCAGGGCCGGGCGACUCAGGAGGGCUGCGGGGUGACGUCUGAUUGAGCCUGGAAGGACAGGCCGACCACAGGAUGGAGGCCACAGCAUCCUUCCCGGAGUCUGACCCCACGCUGGAGACAGAGGGGCUGGGCUGGGCUGGGCAACCUAGACCCGGGAGCCCAUCUGUCCAGCCACCAGCGUCCGUCUGUCUGGGUCCCUGCUAGGGAGAGUCUGCAGCAGGGAGACCCCGGCAGCUUCGAGUAUGGAGGGGAGACUCUGGCCGCCUGAGAGCUGGCUGCCAGGUGCUGAGCCGCCCCAAGAAAAAGCCCUCGUGGCAAGAAACUGAGGCCUCCAGCCAGCAGUCAGGGACCCGAGGCCUGAGACGGUGGAGGGUGAGCUUGCAAAGGGACCCCACAGUCGGGCCUUGAGAGGCCCACGGGCCUGGCCCACACCUCGGCUGCAGCCUUGUGAAGGUCCCUGAGCAGGGGACCCAGACUUCUGUCCUACAGAAACUUGGAGAUAAUAAAUGCCUGCUCUUCUACGGCACUGAGUGUCGGGUGAUUUGUUACGGGCAGUAGACAGCUAAUACCUGCCCCUUAGGACACCAAGUCCUCGCCUCCUGGAGGCCCAAGCCCCAGGGAGCCAUGCCUGACUUGCCGCCUGUCGAUGGGCCACGCGUUCCUUGUUGAUGCCAUUCUGGGGUCCCCUCACCCUGACAUACUAGGAGCCAGUUCCGAGGGAGGCUCUUCUGCCACCAACCCUGGCCCAGGGGGACACUGAGCUCCUUGAUGCUGAGGGCCGGUGGUUCCUUAUCGCCUGGCGACCAGCGUGUCCUCCGGGUCCUUUUCCAAUACCAGCACCUCCCAGCUCAAAAACACAACCCAGCACUCCUGUUCCUCCGUCUCCCGGCCCUCCCUCGACACUGGGCCGAGGCAGCCUGUGCACCUGCCCCAAGCUCCCAGGAGCUGACCCAGCAGCGGAUUCGGCCUGGUUCCCGGCAUCCUUACCGGGAUUUGGAAAAUGCUCCUUUCAAUCAAUAAAGGCCCCACGCGGGCCUUCUUCCGCCCUCCCCUCCAGCAUCCUCCAUCUCCAUUUCCACCCGUCCUCCCCGUCCUGCCAGGCCGCAGCUCCUUGCAGAAUAACCCACACCCUCCAGUCGCAGGGACAGAACACCCUAGUUACUGGCCUAGAAUUUUGCGGGGGACGAGGACAGGCAGACCCUAAGGAGGACACUCGCCUCAGGUGAGACCUUUGCAAGGUCCCGGCAGUGGGAGCCACUCCCGCCACUGCGGAGGGAACAGAGGGCAGGGAUCUAAGAGGCUUCUACCCAAAUACCGCAUCCAGGUCAUAGCGUCCCACCCCCCGCUGCCACCGGGGCCCUGACUUCAACACGGGAGGCAGACCAGACGCCACCGCCCUGGGAUCAGAGCUUGGGCCCGAGGGUUGGCCCCGUCUGCACUCUGGCUUUCGGAAUGAGGCUCGCUGUCAAUGCUGUGGUGGAGCUGCAUUCGUUUCCGGGGCUUCUAUAACAAGGUGCCAUAGAACAGGGCUCCAACAGCAGCCCAUUCUCCCACUGUCCUGGAGGCUGGAAGUUCGAGACCAAGGUGCCUGCAGAGUUGGUUCCUCCUGAGGCCUUUCUCCCUGGCUUGUAGAUGGCCCUCUUCUCCUGACUCCUCACACAGAGUCAUCCCUCUGUGUGUAUCUGUGUCCUAGUCUCUCUUCUUUUUCUUUUCGCUUCUUCUUUUUUUUUUUUUGAAGACAGGGUCUCUCUCUCUCUGUCACCCAGGCUGGAGUGCAGUGGUGUUAUCAUAGCUCACUGCAGCCUAGACCUCCCAGGCUCAGGUGAUGCUCCUACCUCAGCCUCCCAAGUAGCUGGGACCACAGACAUGUGUCACCACACCCGACUAAUUUUUUAUAUUUUGUUGUAGAGAUGGGGUCUCACUAUGUUGCCCAGGCUCAACUGGCUUUAAGCCAUCCUCCCACCUCGACCUUCCAAAGUGUUGGGAUUACAGGUGUGAGCCACUGAGCCUGGCCCUUAUCUCUUUUUCUCAGGACACGACUCAGGCCGGGCGUGGUGGCUCAUGCCUAUAAUCCCAGCACAUUGGGAGGCCAAGACGGGCGGAUCACCUGAGGUCAGGAGUUCCAGACCAGCCUGGUCAGCAUGGUGAAACCCCGUCUCUACUAAAAAUAUAAAAAUUAGCCAGGUGUGGUGGCCAGCGCCUGUAAUCCCAGCUACUCGGGAGGCUGAGGCAGGAGAAUCGCUUGAACCCAGGAGGCGGAGGUUGCAGUGAGCCAAGAUCGCACCAUUGCACUCUAGCCUGGGUGACAGAGUGGGACUCCGUCUCAAAAAAUAAAAAAAGUGGGGGAUGGGGGUGGGGGUGGGGGUGGGCCAGGCGCGGUGGCUCACGCCUGUAAUCCCAUCACUUUGGGAGGCCGAGACGGGUGGAUCACCUGAGGUCAGAAGUUCGAGACCAGCCUGACCAACAUGGGGAAACUUCAUCUCUACUAAAAAAUACAAAAAUUAGCCGGGUGUGGUGGUGGGUGCCUGUAAUCCCAGGUGCUCAGGAGGCGAAGCAGAAGAAUCACUUGAACCCAAGAGGUGGAGGUUGCAGUGAGCCAAGCUCGUGACACUGCACUCCAGACUGGGUGACAGAGCAAGACUUCAUUUCAAAGGAAAAAAAAAACAAGGCCAGCGGUCAUGUGGGAACAGGACUCGCUGUAAUCCCCUCUUUAAAGGCCAUAUCUGUAAAUACAG